rnacentral:rRNA from 1 species
GACGAACGCUGGCGGCGUGCUUAACACAUGCAAGUCGAACGGAAAGGCCUGCUUUCCCUUGUGGAUUGCGGGUACUCGAGUGGCGAACGGGUGAGUAACACGUGAGUGAUCUGCCCCCAACUUGGGUAUAAGCCUGGGAAACUGGGUCUAAUUCCCGAUAGGACUGCAGGGUGGUGCCUGUGGUGGAAAACGAUUUUCUAGUGGUUGGGGAUGAGCUCGCGGCCUAUCAGCUUGUUGGUGGGGUAAUGGCCUACCAAGGCGGCGACAGGUAGCCGGCCUGAGAGGGUGGACGGCCACAUUGGGACUGAGAUACGGCCCAGACUCCUACGGGAGGCAGCAGUGGGGAAUAUUGCACAAUGGGCGGAAGCCUGAUGCAGCGACGCCGCGUGGGGGAUGACGGCCUUCGGGUUGUAAACUCCUUUCGACCGCGAGGAAGCCACCUGGUUGGAAGGGUGGUGACGGUAGUGGUAGAAGAAGCACCGGCUAACUACGUG